AUUGGCCACCCGGGGAAGAAGACGACGAGGCGACAACGACGUGAACGAAAUGUGCCUUAUCGCUGUGUGUUUUUGAGACGGUUAUCAGCUGACACGACGCCAGAUAUGCCGGGCCUCCGCAUUCCCAACAAUGGACCCAGAGUGCAGAGUCACGCCGGAUGUCGAGUUCUCCUUUUAAACAUUGUUGCCUGGCUGAGUUUGAGAUUUUCCUUAGUUGAAUACUUACACAGCCUUAAAUCCUAGCUGAGUCCAUUUUUUAAAUCCUCAGACGCUUUAUUGGAUUUUUAUUUUUUGUAUCGAUUCACGCUGACAGAGCGCCCCCUAGGUGGACGAAUUCCGGAAGAAAGUAACUGCAGCUGCGCGGCAGCUGAUGGCGUAACUGCUCAUAGCUGCCCCCUUUGGUCACUAGCGUUAUUUUUUGCAGUGAAUUUGAAGAUCCAUGUACUAAACUCUUUCGUCACUUGUAAGAAAAUUAAGUGAACUAGUGGGGUAGUGAAUAUUUUGAGCCCCAGCUUGCUAAUAUAAUGAAUUAUCAUACCUGUGUGUCCAUCCACAUGUACAUUCUUUGCCAAACUUUUGGCACCCUGUUUUUCAAAAAUGUUUUGAAAUU